ACGACCGGCGCACGGGCGCGCACCGCGUAUGGAACCUACCUUGUACAGGGGAAUAGCCCAGGGAAACUUGGAUUAAUGCCCCGUAGUACCGUGACCCGGCAUCGGGAUACGGUUAAAGCCUUCGGGCGGUAUAAGAUGGCCAUGCGUCCCAUUAGCUUGUUGGUAAGGUAACGGCUUACCAAGGCUACGAUGGGUAGGGGCCCUGAGAGGGGGAUCCCCCACACUGGUACUGAGACACGGACCAGACUCCUACGGGAGGCAGCAGUGAGGAAUAUUGGACAAUGGAGGAGACUCUGAUCCAGCCAUGCCGCGUGCAGGAAGAAUGCCCUAUGGGUAGUAAACUGCUUUUAUACGGGAAGAAAAAAGAGUACGUGUACUCUACUGACGGUACCGUAAGAAUAAGGACCGGCUAACUCCGUGCCAGCAGCCGCGGUAAUACGGAGGGUCCGAGCGUUAUCCGGAAUUAUUGGGUUUAAAGGGUCCGUAGGCGGGCCGAUAAGUCAGGGGUGAAAGUUUGCAGCUCAACUGUAAAAUUGCCUUUGAUACUGUUGGUCUUGAGUUAUAGUGAAGUUGCCGGAAUAUGUAGUGUAGCGGUGAAAUGCAUAGAUAUUACAUAGAACACCGAUUGCGAAGGCAGGUGACUAACUAUAUACUGACGCUGAUGGACGAAAGCGUGGGGAGCGAACAGGAUUAGAUACCCUGGUAGUCCACGCCGUAAACGAUGGAUACUAGCUGUCCGAGGCCUUGAGUCUUGGGCGGCCAAGCGAAAGUGAUAAGUAUCCCACCUGGGGAGUACGUUCGCAAGAAUGAAACUCAAG
rnacentral:rRNA from 1 species